AUGGCUUUUCUCCUCCCGUCUUCUUCAAUUCAAAACUGUUUGUGAUGAUUACUCAGCGAUAUGCGAUUAAAAGCUUCAAAUUUGCAGAAACCCAUCUUCUUCAGCUCCUACUCUGCCCAUGAUAUUCUCAGAGCGUCUUUCAUUGAGAAGUUUCUGGUCUCCAGAAUCCUUUUUGUGCACUUAAGAUUCCUUCUUGGUGUUUGGAGAAAGUUAAGUGAACAUCCCAGUGCAGUGACUUCAACAUGUUCUCAACUUCUCUUAUCACAUUUGAUUCGUCACGAACUAUUAGUUUACCUCCUGGUCUUACUAUUCUAUCCACUUCUGCCAUUACUGGAACAAGAUUGCACCUUUCAAAACAAAACAAAACAAGAGACUUAUUGUUGAUGAAACGUUACCAAAAGGUGUGGAUAUUAUGAGUUACGCUUAUACCUUGUUCUCAACUUUGAGAAAAGAUGAUCUGCAUGUAAGAGAUCAUAGCUUCGAGGGUAUGUGCUAAAUGAUUCACACCAGUCAUGAUAUAUUCCGAAUAGGCCUCUCUCGUAGAUUAUCGGUAGUGUAUCUGGUGAAUUUAUGUUUACUACAUUCAUUACCCACACCUGUAGGUCCUUCAGAGCUGCUGCAAACCUGCAUUUUUACGUAGUUAGUAAAAAAAGGUUUAGUUUUGUGUUCAUAAUCUGUAGUGAAAUCUCGAGGAGCUGGUUUCCCAUAUAUCCCCAUUUGAGAGCUGUUUAACCAGUAAGGCGGUGUUUGAAGCCGACGGGGCCAAUUCACGGGCCACUUGCUUCCUCUCUCGACCACAUUGGUUUCUGGUAGAUUGCAGCACCAAUACCAUUGAGUUUAUCCUUGUUGAUUGUCACAAGUUCCCAGCACAAGGAUUUUGUCAACGCGGACAUUUCUACAUCACUCAAAACAUCUCAGGUUCAGUGAAACAAACAAAAGAAGGAGGAACUCUAGCCUAAGCAUCCGAUUAAGUUCCAGAAGAAGCAUACCACCCUCAUUAUGCCAUGGGACUCUACAACGUGCACAGUGGAUAAGAUCAAACACUCUGCUCGGGAAUGGCAGUCGCUUAGAGCCCAUAACUGCUGAGAUGGCUGGAAUCUUUCUUUCAAGAGCAAACUGGACUUGAGCCUCGUGUUCAUCUUUUGGUGCAAGAGACAUUGCUAUAACAUCUCUUUCAAAGAGGAAACCGCCAAAGCUCGCCACUCCACAUCCAACAUCCAAUAUGACCCGAUUUUAACACUAUACUGAAAUCAAGAAAUGAGUGUUCACCUGCUGAAGAAAAUCGAUAUAAUGAAGAGCUCCAUGGAUGAACUGUGUUCCACCACCAGGAAACGUCAAGAACUCGCCAGUGACCUUCACCCAGUUCUGAUGUCCUUUUACCUCAGCUAGCUUUGUGUGUGGGACAUUGUGGUACCAUAUCUACUAGAUCACAUACUUUACGGCAUCGUCUGGAAGCUUUCCCGGAUUGUCUUCAAAUGCCUGUUGCUCAUCAGACUCUUGUUUCGUGGGUUCGGGCUCAUCAUUACCGUUUGAAGAGGCAGACACAUCACUCCUCUCUGUCUCUGCGACAGCCGCUCGAGUGGAGCCUUGUGUGAUCUGCGGUGGAAUAACGGAAUUGGAAGAAAGCAUCCACACCCCGAAGACACACAGAGCCACAAAGAUGACCAUUGUAAUGGUCGACGCAUAGGACGACGUCGAAGUGCGUUUGUUGCCACGUCCCCUCCCGAAGGCCAUCUUUACGGUCUUGCGUAUAGUACUAGUUAUGGAGAAAGAAGAAGAAGAAAAAUGAAGGAGUAAAAUGGGAGUUGAAGGAAGUAAAAAUAGAAGAAAAAGAAGAGAAAGAGAGGUUGUGAAGAGACAAGACUGGAUCAAAGAUCCUAUAGAGUCGGAUAUGGGACUUUCAAUUUCGUGUCUCUAAAUUUAGUUAUGGUCUCUGUGUUUCAUAUUUUGUUGUCCAUGAAAAAUUAGUGCCAUGUAAUCCAAUGUUAACUUGUAACGCCUAGUCAAGGAUAUAUUAAACAUGGCAAGCUUGUGCUUUUUUGGUAUAAUGUAUUCGAAGACUGUUUAAUUUGAAUUUUGAUUGAUUAAGUAUGUUGAUUUCAAUUUGAGUGUAUUUUUUGGUUGUUAUGGUAUUAUUUAUAAAAACAUGUUUG
rnacentral:lncRNA from 1 species